rnacentral:rRNA from 1 species
UACGAAGGGGGCUAGCGUUGUUCGGAAUUACUGGGCGUAAAGGGCGCGUAGGCGGCCUUCUAAGUCAGACGUGAAAUCCCUCGGCUCAACCGAGGAACUGCGUCUGAUACUGGAAGGCUUGAGUCCGGAAGAGGAGUGUGGAAUUCCUGGUGUAGCGGUGAAAUGCGCAGAUAUCAGGAGGAACACCAAUGGCGAAGGCAGCACUCUGGGACGUGACUGACGCUGAGACGCGAAAGCGUGGGGAGCAAACAGG